GAUGAACGCUGGCGGUAUGCCUUACACAUGCAAGUCGAACGAAAAUUAGCUUCGGUUAAUUUUAGUGGCGGACGGGUGAGUAACACGUGAGAAUUUGCCUUUAGGAGGGGGAUAACGAGUGGAAACAUUCGCUAAAACCCCAUAUGCCCACGGGUGAAAAAGAGGAAACUCUGCCUGAAGAGAAGCUCGCGGCUGAUUAGCUAGUUGGUAGGGUAAUGGCCUACCAAGGAGACGAUCAGUAGCAGGUCUGAGAGGACGAUCGGCCACAGUGGAACUGAGACACGGUCCAGACUCCUACGGGAGGCAGCAGUGAGGAAUUUUCUGCAAUGGGCGAAAGCCUGACAGAGCAAUACCGCGUGAGGGAUGAAGACUUACUGAGUUGUAAACCUCGGUGCCUUAAGGAAGAAGAUCUGACGGUACUUAAGGUGGAAAGCAUCGGCUAACUCCGUGCCAGCAGCCGCGGUAAGAC
rnacentral:rRNA from 1 species